rnacentral:rRNA from 1 species
GUGUCAGCAGCCGCGGUAAAACGUAGGAGGCAAGCGUUAUCCGGAUUUACUGGGCGUAAAGCGCGUGCAGGUGGUUGCAUAAGUCGUGCGUGAAAGCGCCCUGCUUAACAGGGCGAGUGCGGGCGAGACUGUGCGACUAGAGCUAGAUAGAGGCAAGUGGAAUUCCGGGUGUAGUGGUGAAAUGCGUAGAGAUCCGGAGGAAUACCAGUGGCGAAGGCGGCUUGCUGGGUCUAAGCUGACACUCAGACGCGAAAGCAUGGGGAGCGAACGGGAUUAGAUACCCGGGUAGUCC